rnacentral:rRNA from 1 species
GACGAACGCUGGCGGCGUGCCUAAUACAUGCAAGUAGAACGAGUGGCGGACGGGUGAGUAAUGUCUGGGAACCUGCCCGCUGGAGGGGGAUAACUACUGGAAACGGUAGCUAAUACCGCUUACCAUCGGAUGUGCCCCGAUGGGAUUGGCUAGUUGGUGGGGUAACGGCUAACCUGGGCGACGAUCCCUAGCUGGGCGGAGAGGAUGACCAGCCACACUGGAACUUAGAGACGGUCCAGACUCCUACGGGAGGCAGCAGUGGGGAAUAGUGCACAAUUGGCGCAAGCGUGAUGCAGCCAUGCCGCGUGUAUGAAUAAGGCCUGCGGGUUGUAAAGUACUUUCAGCGAGGAGGCGUUACGCGCAGAAGAAGCACCGGCUAACUCCGUGCCAGCAGCCGCGGUAAUAC